rnacentral:tRNA from 1 species
GUUGAUAUAGUUUAACUAAAAUGCUAGAUUGUGAUUCUAGAGACAAAGGUUAAUACCCUUUUAUUAACC